AAGCAUGUUUCCAAGGCAUUUGGCUGGGUUAGAGUCAUGGGAUCUCCAAUUACAUCACAGAAUAACAUGGAGACACUCUGACAGCUCAGGUUAGCACAGUACCUGUGGCUGCUACUCAUCUCUCUUAAAGAG